GACUACCGGGGUAUCUAAUCCUGUUUGCUCCCCACGCUUUCGUACCUGAACGUCAGAAAUGGGCCAGAGAGCCGCUUUCGCCACUGGUGUUCCUCCCGAUAUCUACGAAUUUCACCUCUACACCGGGAAUUCCGCUCUCCUCUACCAUCCUCAAGUCACAUGGUUUCGAAUGCAGUUCCCGGGUUGAGCCCGGGGCUUUCACAUCCGACCUGCGUGACCGUCUGCGUACGCUUUACGCCCAGUAAAUCCGAGCAACGCUUGCACCCUCUGUAUUACCGCGGCUGCUGGCACAGAGUUAGCCGGUGCUUUCUUGCGAGGUACCGUCUGGGAUUUCUCCCGUCUUCCCUCCCGACAGAGCUUUACAACCCGAAGGCCUUCAUCACUCACGCGGCGUGGCUGCGUCAGGCUUUCGCCCAUUGCGCAAUAUUCCCCACUGCAGCCUCCCGUAGG
rnacentral:rRNA from 1 species